UAGACGUCGGUGGUGAUAGUUG
rnacentral:siRNA from 1 species